GCCUAAAGCGUCCGUAGCCUGUUUUGUCAGUUUUCGGUUAAAUCCAUACGCUCAACGUAUGGGCUGCCGGAAAUACUGCAAAACUAGGGAGUGGGAGAGGUAGACGGUACUCGGGAGGAAGUGGUAAAAUGCUUUGAUCUCUCGAUGACCACCUGUGGCGAAGGCGGUCUACCAGAACACGUCCGACGGUGAGGGAUGAAAGCUGGGGGAGCAAACCGGAUUAGAUACCCGGGUAGUCCCAGCUGUAAACUAUGCAAACUCAGUGAUGCAUUGGCUUGAUGCCAAUGCAGUGUUGCAGGGAAGCCGUUAAGUUUGCCGCCUGGGAAGUACGUACGCAAGUAUGAAACUUAAAGGAAUUGGCGGGGGAGCACCACAAGGGGUGAAGCCUGCGGUUCAAUUGGAGUCAACGCCAGAAAUCUUACCCGGAGAGACAGCAGAAUGAAGGUCAAGCUGAAGACUUUACCAGACAAGCUGAGAGGUGGUGCAUGGCCGUCGCCAGCUCGUGCCGUGAGAUGUCCUGUUAAGUCAGGUAACGAGCGAGAUCCUUGCCUCUAGUUGCCACCAUUACUCUCAGGAGUAGUGGGGCGAAUUAGCGGGACCGCCGUAGUUAAUACGGAGGAAGGAAGGGGCCACGGCAGGUCAGUAUGCCCCGAA
rnacentral:rRNA from 1 species